UCGAUUAGAGUUUGAUUAUGGCUCAGGAUGAACGCUAGCGGCAGGCUUAAUACAUGCAAGUCGUGGGGCAGCAUGGUGUAGCAAUACACUGAUGGCGACCGGCAAACGGGUGCGGAACACGUACGCAACCUUCCUUUAACUGGAGAAUAGCCCGGGGAAACCCGGAUUAAUACUCCGUAACAUUAUGAAGUGGCAUCACUUUAUAAUUAUAGCUCCGGCGGUUGAAGAUGGGCGUGCGUCUGAUUAGGUAGUUGGCGGGGUAACGGCCCACCAAGCCUACGAUCAGUAACUGGUGUGAGAGCACGACCAGUCACACGGGCACUGAGACACGGGCCCGACUCCUACGGGAGGCAGCAGUAAGGAAUAUUGGUCAAUGGACGCAAGUCUGAACCAGCCAUGCCGCGUGGAGGAUGAAGGUCCUCUGGAUUGUAAACUUCUUUUAUUUGGGAAGAAACCACCGAUUUCUAUUGGUGUUGACGGUACCAGAUGAAUAAGCACCGGCUAACUCCGUGCCAGCAGCCGCGGUAAUACGGAGGGUGCAAGCGUUAUCCGGAUUCACUGGGUUUAAAGGGUGCGUAGGCGGGCAGGUAAGUCCGUGGUGAAAUCUCCAAGCUUAACUUGGAAACUGCCGUGGAUACUAUUUGUCUUGAAUAUAGUGGAGGUGAGCGGAAUAUGUCAUGUAGCGGUG
rnacentral:rRNA from 1 species